rfam:Rattus norvegicus chromosome X, whole genome shotgun sequence.
GGGGAUUUAGCUCAGUGGUAGAGCGCUUGCCUAGCAAGUGCAAGGCCAUGGGUUCGAUCCCCAGCUCCG